rnacentral:rRNA from 1 species
GCUUGUCUCAAAGAUUAAGCCAUGCAUGUCUAAGUGUAAAUACGUCUACACUGUGAAACUGCGAAUGGCUCAUUAAAUCAGUUAUCGUUUAUUUGAUGAUCUCUCGUUACAUGGAUAACCGUAGUAAUUCUAGAGCUAAUACAUGCGUAAAGACCCGACUUCUGGGAGGGUCGUAUUUAUUAGAUACAAAACCAAUGCGGGGCAACCCGGUUCUUGGUGAAUCAGAAUAACUGAACGGAUCGCAUGGCCUUGUGCCGGCGAUGAAUCAUUCAAAUUUCUGCCCUAUCAACUUUCGAUGGUAAGGUAUUGGCUUACCAUGGUUACAACGGGUAACGGGGAAUUAGGGUUCGAUUCCGGAGAGGGGGCCUGAGAAAUGGCCACCACUUCCAAGGAAGGCAGCAGG